rnacentral:sRNA from 1 species
UGUGGUCCUCUGAUCAACAUAGGCUGGUGGGAGUACAGGACUCGCCUCCUCAGGGUUCCCUGUGCUGCCACUUUUCAGCCAUGGCCACAAGUGAACAGAGUAUCUGCCAAGCCCGGGCUUCCGUGAUGGUCUACGAUGACACCAGUAAGAAAUGGGUACCAAUCAAACCUGGCCAGCAGGGAUUCAGCCGGAUCAACAUCUACCACAACACUGCCAGCAACACCUUCAGAGUCGUUGGAGUCAAGCUGCAGGAUCAGCAGGUUGUGAUCAAUUAUUCAAUCGUGAAAGGGCUGAAGUACAAUCAGGCCACGCCAACCUUCCACCAGUGGCGAGAUGCCCGCCAGGUCUACGGCUUAAACUUUGCAAGUAAAGAAGAGGCGACCACGUUCUCCAAUGCAAUGCUGUUUGCCCUGAACAUCAUGAAUUCCCAAGAAGGAGGUGCGUGCAUCCUCUAAUGACAAAGCAACCUUGUAUUUCCUUCCACAAAUGAAUGGAGGCAGCCUAACGUCAUGUGGUAUGUUCCAGGCUCAUGAUAGAGGAUAAGUACACCUCCUUGGCUG